UACGGGGGGGGUAAGCGUUGUUCGGAAUUACUGGGCGUAAAGGGCUCGUAGGCGGCCAACUAAGUCGGACGUGAAAUCCCUCAGCUUAACUGGGAAACUGCGUCCGAUACUGGAUGGCUUGGAUUUGGGAGAGGGAUGCGGAAUUCCAGGUGUAGCGGUGAAAUGCGUAGAUAUCUGGAGGAACACCGGUGGCGAAGGCGGCAUCCUGGACCAAUAUUGACGCUGAGGAGCGAAAGCCAGGGGAGCAAACGGG
rnacentral:rRNA from 1 species